AGAAGCGGAUAGAAGGACGACAAAUUACCAAUCCUGUCAAACUUUAUCUUUUCAAAUCCUCACCCCUUCAUCAUGGAACCCACACGAAGAAGUUCGUAUGAUGCAAGUUUUAAGUUGAAGGCCAUCGAUCUCGCUGUACAAGAAGGACACAGCGCCGCUGCUCAGAAGCUUAGCGUCAAUGAGCCUAUGGUGAGACGCUGGAGGAGGCAGCGGGAAGAGCAACACUUUUUUGAAUAGAGCGGAUGCGGCUUAUAUGCAGGCCCUUCGUUGCAUUGCGGUGCAGGGAAAGAAUGCAAGUCGAGCCAAACUUUCUUACCAGGGCACUGGCACAGGCAAACAUGUUAUUAAAUGCCUUUUAUAUAAAAUCCCCUUUUAUAUCUCUCGUUUAGCUCUGUGCAAUAACCAUCAUGCUUUUGUACGUGCAUGACACUUAUUUGCAUGCGUUUGUAAUUUGUGUGCGUGUGGGCUUUUGUUUGCGACUGGAAAAAUCUGUGUGUGCGUUUUUUAUAGCUCCGUGGACGUUCUGGUCCACCAAAAGCCUACGGUUUGGUAUGAAAACCGCUUAUUUUAAUUCUCUCUCCAAAGCGCGCAGCUUACUUUUCAAUCGUAUACGCUCUACGUAUUCUUGGAAUAUCUGCAGACCACAACAGCGUGAACCAUAAUCUUUUUAUUCUUUUUCAUAUAUAAAGAAAUACACAAAAUACUUACAAACUGUUCCAGGACAACUUGAAGUCAAAGAGCACGUGACCGAAGCUGACAGAGAAAAGGUAAAACGAGAGGAGAAUGCCUACAACGCUUUUUCCGUCGAAGUGUUAGUUCGCCCAAAAUAAUAAAUAGUCAGAAUUUGUUCAGUAUCGCGUUUUUUGUUUUCUAACCUGUAUGACUCUGUAGAACAUAAAAGACGACUGCGAACUAUUUUGGGUGAACUACCCUUUCAAACCUCUGUCUUUUGACGGUAGAGUUCACAUACAGACCAUUAAAAGCCUCCACGCUUUCCACCCAGUAAUAGGCGGCGGCUUUUUCCCGCCCGUGACCUCUGUAGCUUCCCUUCGCUAAGUGCUACUCUACGAGAAGAUGCCUUGAGCUUUGAAAGUUCACGGUUGGCAUGGUUACUGUACUGACAUCUAAAUGGUGAAAGUGAACUGUAACAGACCGCCGAGACUCUCUGUGGAGCUGCAAUGCGUAUCACAGAGUUCAUCCAAGCUUUAACAAUGAACAAUUUUGCACCAAUAAUGUAUAAAAAAAUAUACAUAAUCGAAAACAAAAAAAACGUGUUGUAUGUGUAAAUUUGGUCAAAAACUCCUACUUUGUAUAUAUACCUGUAAAAAAAUUAUAACAUUUCCGGAGCAUUUGGGAAAUGUCCAAAAGCACAAGGUGAGAAACAGUUAGACUGUCCUCAAAAGGCAGUGAAUCUGUUCUCCUGUCUAAACGCACAUCUUACAACACCUAAAUCAACGUAACACCACAGAGAUUAAAGCUCCGUCCAUACCGAUAACGAUAACUGUAACCGUAGCUAUAUUAACGCCACACCAAGGGAGGAUAAUGUUGUUUAUUUAUAAGCGUGAGCUGUCAUUGGCUGCGUUUAAUGAUCGAGCUCUUUAAAGACUGAUAAUCUGG